CCCCUUCACAUUGGCAGAAAGAAGGUGCGGUUCCAGCGUCUCUGACAGGACCUUCAGACUCUGUGUGGAGCAGGGGGAACUUGCAUGAAGGAGGCGACUUCUCCAUCACCGCUUGAGGCUUCCCCAAAUCUUUCUCCUGCAAGACCAGUUCGAGCCCCUGCCUGGGUGGAGCGCCCUGUGAUGGUCCAGACCCCCAUUGAUCCAGAAAGAUUCUCCGUCUUUCAGGUGAGGUUGUCGAGCAGGUGAGUCCUGGCCGUUGGAUGUCCUCCUGACUCCUUGGAGAAGUCAAGACGCCCCCCAAUUUCCAUUAGAUGGAAGAAUCUGAUGUGACCUCAUUUUUCCUCGGCUGUUGGAAAGAGAGAAACACAAUCCGGGACGGUCUGAGAGCCUGAACUCCCUGCUCGUUUGUCUCCUUUUCUCUCUUGAAAUAUUUGUGAAGAGACUCUGGUGACGGGAACUCUUGUGUCUCGUCUGAGUCUUUCCUUCCACCAGAUGUGGAAGAAAUUGGGCCGCCCGGAGGAAGCACCUCACUCCCGCCAUUUUCCUCUUUGGAGCCUUCAACGCCCCCCCUGCCUUGUUCUUGCCUUUCCCUCCCCCCUUUCAUGCAGGAGGGGGGAAGGGGAGGAACCUAGAGCUACGAAGGCGAAGGAAGAGCCCCUCCCCUGGACGCCCUUUGAACGGGAGCCGGAAGAGGCGGGGAUCCUGCAGCGCCUGCCUCUUCCCCUUCGGCCCAAGAAAGGCGCCUGGAGGAGAGAAGCGGGGCUUUUGGGGCGCCUCCCGGAUCGGGACCUGGACGGAGGAAAUGGUGAGACUGAGCUGAGUUGUCUUUGCUGUUUUUGGCACAAAAAACCAAUAACCAAAUCCCAGAUCCCUCCAACAUUUUCAAGGUAAGUGAGAUUUCUAGAGGUGGCUUAAAUAGCCUUGCCGCACACUCUCUCCUCACAGUUUCCCCGGCCCAGCAGGAAUUUGAAUCCAGGUCUCCUGGUUUCCAGUCUGGUACUCCAUCCACGACACCACUCAUCUUCUUGGAAGAUGUGCAAAGUGUUGGUGUUUUGGGGUAUAGGUUUUCUUUGUAUCUUAUUUAGGUGUUUUUUGUUUUUUUAGAAAAAAAAUCUCAAUCCGGCUUAACCCUACCUCAUGCUCACGAAGGGCAGGUCCUCUUGACUAGAGGCAAACCUUGGCCAUCCUGAUUUGGGGUGUAGGGGUUCCCCUUCAAGGCUCCCUUCUUGUUCCCCCUGAACAGACAAGCCAGACUGAGUAUUUUGCUUUGCACCAUCCACCUUUACCUCACACUCUGAUGAUAACUGAUUAACAGGUAACGUCAUUUCUGUUCCCAACUUCUCCUUCAGUGGGAGGAUAAAAGAUACAAUAGACUGAGGCUGAACCCAAAGAAGAAGGGGGUCCUCCAACUGGGAGCCCCUGAUGUCUGUGAUAUGGGCGGUUCCCAACACACUCUUGGC
rnacentral:lncRNA from 1 species